GUGACCCUGCUGCCCUCCGUUUGUCUUGCCAGGGCUGCACCAACCAGCCAGGGGACGUAAGCGUCCCUGGGCGGGCCAGCUCCCUGCAGCUUCUUCUAGCGUCUCACCCAGACGCUGGCAAUGGGUGAAAACAUUCCUAGGCCUGUGUAUGCGGCACUGACAAUGAGGUGCAUUUUUUUGUUCUAAAUGGCAGUUCAUGUUCUUUGCCAAAAGCAGAGUUGAAGGGGUUUUUUCAGAUGCACCAUUGCCGAUGGAGACAUUGGAUGCUGCUUUCAGUUCCUCAGGCUCCAGUGUGACAUACCUUAGAACCAAAGGGAACGUAAAAUGAAUGUCAUUAGUUGCUUUGUAGCAGCGCUUCAACUGACGGAUAACAUUGGCCAGGAUUGCAUAGAACACAUUCCUUCUGAAUAAAGGCUCAGAGUCAUCUUCCGUGCUGACAGAACAUUAUUCCUCAGGUGUCUCAUAAUGAAAUGGUUUCUGUUUCCUACCUCUCUUCUGCAGUAAUGGUGGCAAAAUUCUCAUACCUUUUGUCACAAGGCAUGCUUCCAAUAGAAGUUUGGGACACUGAUCUUGAAGUUGCAUUAAUUCUUCAAUAACAUCAGCAGUGAGAGAUUACUCUGAUCAGGAGAGAUUCCUAGGCUUGUAAAAUCUUUUUUCUCAUCAAUACUUAGAAGACUUCAUGUUGAUGGGCUUGUGCCUUCUGGCUGGUCCCUACCUUGGACUAGGGUAGAGGUUGUCAGGAUUUCGGUCGCUGAAGAAAGAGAUCAGCAGGACUGUUCUAUUGACUCAUGUUGGAAGCCAUACCAGGCAGGACACAUUAGCUGCUGUCCCAGGUUUUUCAAAUGUUUUUGUAUGAAUGCAAUGUUUUCACAAGGUGCCUCACUGAAGACCUUAAAGGCACAGCACAAAUAGAGCACCAGCACAAGGUCCUUCACACUGCCUCAUCAAUAUGCCUUAAACCUAUCCAAGAGGGAACUUCCUGAGGGUCAAGCAUCGGCAGACCAGAUCAACCUGCAUCAGUUCAUGGGUGGGCCCUAUGGUUUUUGGCAUGGGGUGUGGUUGAGGCAGCAGCAAGAUUCCCAUCCUCUCCUCCUUUUGCACACCCAGCUGGUUG